rnacentral:rRNA from 1 species
GACGAACGCUGGCGGCGUGCUUAACACAUGCAAGUCAGGGGGUGGGGUAACCCAUCACCGGCGAACGGGUGCGUAACACGUGAGCGACCUGCCCUUGAGUGGGGGAUAGCCGGCCCAACGGCCGGGUAAUACCGCAUACGACUGUGCUGGGGCAUCCUAGCGCGGUGAAGCCUUCGGGGCUCAGGGAGGGGCUCGCGGCCUAUCAGCUAGUUGGCGAGGUAACGGCUCACCAAGGCGANGACGGGUAGCUGGUCUGAGAGGAUGGCCAGCCACAUUGGGACUGAGAGACGGCCCAGACUCCUACGGGAGGCAGCAGUGGGGAAUCUUGCGCAAUGGCCGAAAGGCUGACGCAGCGACGCCGCGUGAGGGAUGACGGCC